rnacentral:rRNA from 1 species
CGCGUAGGCGGACAGUUUAGUCAGAGGUGAAAGCCCAGGGCUCAACCUUGGAAUAGCCUUUGAUACUGGCUGUCUUGAGUGCGGGAGAGGUGUGUGGAACUCCGAGUGUAGAGGUGAAAUUCGUAGAUAUUCGGAAGAACACCAGUGGCGAAGGCGACACACUGGCCCGUUACUGACGCUGAGGCGCGAAAGCGUGGGGAGCAAACA